GGCGCAGUCUGUUUUGUUUAACGAAGUUUUUACAACGAACACAUAUUACCUCUCUCUCUCUCUCUCUCUCUCUCUCUCUCUCUCUCUGUCUCUGUCUAUUUUAAUUGUUAGCCAAGUCCUGGGUGCAUUGCAGGAGAGAAGGAGACAACCAGGAAGGAGGGAGCUGGCUCCCAAGGGUAAGGUCACCAGCCGGGGGACAGUAGUCCAGGAGGCUUUGAGGCUUCAGGGCCCAAACUUCUUCCGCUUCCGGUUCUCCUGCACAAACUUCCCCGUGGCCCCAGCCCCCCAAGACGUCCCACCUCCACAGGCCUUCCACGGACACCAGCGGCCAAGAAGAUGCUGGGACAUACAGCUAGAGUCCACCCUGAUGCCUCCACUCCCAAAGCGCUGCCACGCUCAUCGGGGCCACACUCAGAAUAAGAGAGCCACCAUGUCCUGGCCAGGUGAUGUGAGAAAAUGCAGUCUUGCCACAUAACCAGAGAGCUGCGCUUAGUAAAAAGACUAGAGGAAGAAUAGAACACAAUUCCAACUCAGUAGGGUCGUGCAUUCGUAGAGAAGGGGCUAAGAAGAUGAUGUGACCAUUCAGAUAUGAGCUCUCAUUUCAGGAAGAAGAAGAAGCAGUGCAAAACAAUACAAAAGGCUUGAAGAUGAAAAUAAAAUCCCUGUUGUACCCACAUUUAUCCUCUCUGCCC
rnacentral:lncRNA from 1 species